rnacentral:rRNA from 1 species
ACAGUCACUGACAUUAGAUACCCGCGUAGUCCAGGGUGUAAACGCUGCAGACUUGGUGUUGGGGGCCCUUUGGGGGCAUUCAGUGCCGGAGAGAAGUUGUUAAGUCUGCUACUUGGGGAGUACGUCCGCAAGGAUGAAACUUAAAGGAAUUGGCGGGGGAGCACCGCAACGGGAGGAGCGUGCGGUUUAAUUGGAUUCAACACCGUAAACUCACCAGGGAAGACUGUUACAUGAAGGCCGAGAUGAAGACUCUGCUAGAUUUUCAG